ACCUGGCUGGCUCAGUUGGUGGAGCUUGUGACUCUUGAUCUCAGGGUUGUAAGUUCAAGCCCCACACUGGGUG
rnacentral:tRNA from 1 species